GUUUCCUUUCUCUUCAGGCUCAAGACCUGAUAGCCAGAGAAAGGACCCCAAAGCUGCAGAAGCCCUGGCUACACUCCUCUCUCUUGCAUGACUUCCUGAACUGCUGCCUGCAGAGGGACGAGGAGAGGCGAGCAUCUGCCCAGGAGCUUCUGCAGCAUCCAUUUCUACAAUCAGCCGAGCCCCUCUCCAGACUGGUUCCUGUGAUUGUUGCAGCAAAGCAGUCCAGGGACUACAGGAGAUAACCACACCAUUUCAGGACGGCUUUCUCUGAGUGGGACUCGGAAUAAAAACUCUAUGGAAAGUCCCA